rnacentral:rRNA from 1 species
CCUACGGGAGGCAGCAGUGAGGAAUAUUGGUCAAUGGACGAGAGUCUGAACCAGCCAAGCAGCGUGAAGGAAGACUGACCUAUGGGUUGUAAACUUCUUCUAUAAAGGAAUAAAACGAGGCAUGCGUGCCUAUUUGCCUGUACCUUAUGACUAAGGAUCGGCUAACUCCGUGCCAGCAGCCGCGGUAAUACGGAGGAUGCGAGCGUUAUCCGGAUUUAUUGGGUGUAAAGGGAGCGUAGAUGGGUUGGUAAGUCAGUAGUGAAAGUUUGCGGCUCAACCGUAAGAUUGCAAUGGAUACUGGGAGACUGGAGUACAGGUGAGGUAGGCGGAAUUCGUGGUGUAGCGGUGAAAUGCUUAGAUAUCACGAAGAACCCCGAUUGCGAAGGCAGCUUACUAAACUGUGACUGACAUUGAUGCUCGAAAGUGUGGGUAGCAAACAGGAUUAGAUACCCUGGUAGUC